rnacentral:rRNA from 1 species
GACGUAGGGGGCCAGCGUUGUUCGGAAUUACUGGGUGUAAAGGGCUCGUAGGUGGCCAACUAAGUCAGACGUGAAAUCCCUCGGCUUAACCGGGGAACUGCGUCUGAUACUGGAUGGCUUGAGUUUGGGAGAGGGAUGCGGAAUUCCAGGUGUAGCGGUGAAAUGCGUAGAUAUCUGGAGGAACACCGGUGGCGAAGGCGGCAUCCUGGACCAACACUGACACUGAGGAGCGAAAGCCAGGGGAGCAAACGGG